GUACACAAAAAUGCACAUACUGUGAGCUCGAUGAGUAGGGCGGGACACGUGGUAUCCUGUCUGAAUAUGGGGGGACCAUCCUCCAAGGCUAAAUACUCCUGACUGACCGAUAGUGAACCAGUACCGUGAGGGAAAGGCGAAAAGAACCCCGGCGAGGGGAGUGAAAAAGAACCUGAAACCGUGUACGUACAAGCAGUGGGAGCCUCUUAAUGGGGUGACUGCGUACCUUUUGUAUAAUGGGUCAGCGACUUAUAUUCUGUAGCAAGGUUAACCGAAUAGGGGAGCCGAAGGGAAACCGAGUCUUAACUGGGCGUUAAGUUGCAGGGUAUAGACCCGAAACCCGGUGAUCUAGCCAUGGGCAGGUUGAAGGUUGGGUAACACUAACUGGAGGACCGAACCGACUAAUGUUGAAAAAUUAGCGGAUGACUUGUGGCUGGGGGUGAAAGGCCAAUCAAACCGGGAGAUAGCUGGUUCUCCCCGAAAGCUAUUUAGGUAGCGCCUCGUGAAUUCAUCUCCGGGGGUAGAGCACUGUUUCGGCAAGGGGGUCAUCCCGACUUACCAACCCGAUGCAAACUGCGAAUACCGGAGAAUGUUAUCACGGGAGACACACGGCGGGUGCUAACGUCCGUCGUGAAGAGGGAAACAACCCAGACCGCCAGCUAAGGUCCCAAAGUCAUGGUUAAGUGGGAAACGAUGUGGGAAGGCCCAGACAGCCAGGAUGUUGGCUUAGAAGCAGCCAUCAUUUAAAGAAAGCGUAAUAGCUCACUGGUCGAGUCGGCCUGCGCGGAAGAUGUAACGGGGCUAAACCAUGCACCGAAGCUGCGGCAGCGACACUAUGUGUUGUUGGGUAGGGGAGCGUUCUGUAAGCCUGUGAAGGUGUACUGUGAGGUAUGCUGGAGGUAUCAGAAGUGCGAAUGCUGACAUAAGUAACGAUAAAGCGGG
rnacentral:rRNA from 1 species